rnacentral:lncRNA from 1 species
UUGGAGACCAUUGCUGGGAGCAUAGGGGCCUCUCAGGAAGUCGAUUUUCUUUUGUUUGAUUCAAGAAAAACAUUCUGAGCUGCUAAAAAUACAAUCUCCUCCUAAAAUGAAGCACAAAUUGCCAUGAAAUUGGGGAAAAAGAAGGGGGAAAAAAAAAAAAAAAGUAGCAGCAACAGAAGCAUACGCUUCCAGACUUCGGAACAAUGACUGCUGAAUUCUCUUCUCUUUAUUCUCCUGAUUGUUUUAUGAAGAAAUCGAACGUAGAAAGAAAAAAAAAAUGAAAUUAAGGCUCUUUUAUGGCCAGUGAAUGGAGGCAGUGAUUGUUCGUGCUAUGAACAACUCCACGCUGUGUAGCGUAGAUGCUGUGAGCUGUACAGCAGCCAGCCAGUCGCGGGAGAGCAGACCUUUUUCCAUGCCAGAGGGGAUCUGUGGGUGUUGAUUUAUUUUACUUCUUCGCUCUUGUUGUCAGAGGAUGCGAGUUCUGAAUCAGAGAGUCACAGACAAUUAGCGAUUCGCACUGGUCAUCAACACUCACCAGAGUUUAUUGCAAGAACUGCGGUGAUAUUUCAUCAUAGAUUUCCGGGCUUUUUGUUGGUUUAGGUUUAAUUUUGUUAUUCUUGUCAUGACUGCUGCCAAAGAUGCGAGUGCUGGUAGACAGGCAGGCCCGCUGCUCUCCGCAGCUUUCUGGUGUUGUUGUUGUUGCUUGUUUGAGCCUGUGCAUUUGCUAAGCCCAACUCUGCCGCCGGUUUAGCAACUAAUCGGAGCUCCCCGUGCUAUGUCGAACAAGGAGCAAUGGCAGCCUGGAGAGCAAUAGGUGUCGUAGCCUGAGCGCAACGAUGCUGCUCAAAGCUGUAAUAGAUGCUCUGCUUAUCGGAAGCCUGCACUGUUUGUCCUAGGAGAACUUUGUGAAGACAUGUUUAAAUGCAAACGUUGUAUUUAAACAUAUCAGAUUGCCUUUGAUUUCUCACUCGCGUAGCACCGGUUUCCUCACUGCUGGCAGCACAGGGAAGUGAAAUGAGUGAAAGAGGAUCUGGCACACGGACAGUUCAGCUGUAAAGCCUGAGUCAUAGGCUUGCAAUCAGAGAACAAACCAAGCAGAUAAGGAGCACAGUGAGUGCCCGCACAGCAGGCAGGGUCCGCUUGUACUUCAGCUGUGUGCAGAAGAGGUGCUGCUGUCCUCAUGCAUAGCAAGGCAGUAAGGAAGGUGGGUACCUUUGGCUACGUGUUCUGUUCCACAAGUGCAAAAAACUGCUCCAGCCCCACCAGCUUUCAACUGGGGACUCCAAACUUUUCACAGAAAGAAUACCGUCCAUAAAAAGGUGCCGCCUGCUGCUCCUGCAAAGACCCAUUCGUGCCCAUCUGAGCAGCACGCCAUAGAAAAUUCACCAUUUGCACAUGUGCACGACAGUUGUUCAUUAUUUCUGAAAGUUCGUACUUCUGCUGUGCUGGUUCGCGUAUACUGCCAGCCCCACUGAGCCCCCCACAUAGUUUCCUAGCAACUAGAUAGAAAUAUAACUCUGAGCUUGGCACCAGCAGAGCAGAUUCUGCCGCUGCUUUCCCCCAGGCACACACUGCGGUCUGGGAUAGAAUGCACUGGGCAAAGAGAUCAGGGCAGCGCAGGCCAGGAGUCUCCCAGGGGCUGGCAUUAGUCAUUCCUCACACUUCCACACGAAGCCUGGGGUUCCCGCUCCCCGAGGUGGGGACACGUGCUGCUCAGUCCUGCCUUACCCGUGCAUGUUAAGCAAGGGGGAAGUCAUGGAGAUGCCACAAAACCUGAUCUAAAGUCCUUGUCCCACGACAAUCUGUAACAAAGCUGUUACUGACUGCAGCAGGCAAGAGUUUUUGCCUUGGAUAAUACAGCAACACAGGUUUCAGCUGCUAGAUUAUAGUGAGAGGAAAUGUGGCAUGCACAGUUUUAGUCAAUAGCGAGUCUACUUUUCCUUGUCUAGAGAACAGCUGGAGAGUCCCGAUGCACACCGCCCUUUUCUGCCUCGCUCACAGUCUGCCCUUACGCACUUCUAUUUGUUUAAUCCUCUGUUGAAGUAUUUCAGGAGCACAAUCACUGCUCUGCCGCACCACCACAUCAUCACCAGAACAAAUUAAGAAGAAGAAGGUUAGGAGAUUAUAAACCGGAGAUUUAAAAAAGUAGAAAGUCUCUUCAAGGCUGCCUUCGGCUCUUCAACUGUCUUUAGUAAUACAGUACAGGAAAGUAUUACUUCUUCCCCCAGAUCCUUGCCUCACUCAGUACACAAGAUUGCUGAGGAACUGUAACAUCAUUGUUUUUAAUAGGAAAAAAAAAAAAAAAGUAGCUGAGACUUAAUGGUAGCAUUUAAAUGGCAUACAGAGCCUUUUGAGUUCACACCUCAUUAAGGUGCACAGGAAGGGAAGGGGUGCACAUCUUUGUUGUUACUUUUGCCUCGCAGCAUUUUCAGCCAUGCUAUGUGAACAGAGCAGCAGCACAUUAACUGACUUUGUA